rfam:Triticum aestivum genome assembly, contig: Triticum_aestivum_CS42_TGACv1_scaffold_019156_1AS
AUCGUACUCCUUCCGUUCUGAAUUACUCGUCAUAGAAAUGAAUGUAUCUAGAUGUAUUUUAGUUCUAGAUACAUCCACUUGUGCGACGAAUAAUUUGUAACAGAGGGAGUACAAA